GGACACACUAAUAUGCUGUUGGAAACUAGGGCUAUAUGGAAAGGCUGUGUGGAAGAAAACAAACACCCCAGCCAACAUAAUGGAGCUGACAGCCGACAUCUAGCUGAUUGCCAACCACUUUGGAAACUGAUCUUCAAAACCCACUUGAGCUAUAUCAAGAGAAGCCACAUGUGACACAGAUCAUUCGUAACUGAGGCACACUUGUCUUUUGCAACUAAGCUCUACUGAAUUUCAAAGCUAUAGAAAUAUCCAUCUUGACCUGGAAAGUCUGUUUCUUUGCUAGUCCAGAAGAUUUUUUUUAACAUAAACAAGAUCCUCUCAAGCACUCUUUGCUUUGGACUCCUAACUUUGUUAUCCGUGUUGAUUUUUUUACAUUCUGUGCAUGGACGACCAUAUCUUACUGAAGGAAAUGAAAUAUUUCCAGAUAAAAAAUAUACAAAUCGUGAGGAACUAUUGCUGGCUCUACUGAAUAAAAAUUUUGAUUUCCAAAGACCUUUUAAUACUGGAAAUGGUUGGAGUACAGAUGAUGAAUGAAAAAUUUAGACUACCCC
rnacentral:sRNA from 1 species